UUUCUGCAAAAUAAAAAAAAAACAGAGAGAAACUCCUCUGUCCAUACAAAAUAAAUUCAUAUAAAAAAAGGGACUGAUAUUGAUCAUUAGAACACAAAAUCCUACAACAAUUCCCAUAACAAUCUAAUUAACGAGUUCUCCACUAAUUACAUAGAAGUGAGCUUUGGCGUAACUGGUAAAGUUGUUGUCAUAUGAUCAGAAGGUCACGGUUUUGAAUCGUAAAAAUACCCCGACAGAAAGCACAUAGCAAGAGCUUAAUGCACGGACUGACUUUUUACUAAUUAUAUCAAAAUUCACUCCAUAUAUAUAUCUAACUUAAUUAGUGAAAAAGCAAAGUCAUAAAAAUCAAAGGAAAAAUAGUGGUGAUAAUCAACAUAUUCUUCCAGCUGGUUCUUGAUUCUUGAAUAGAGAUUGAAGAUGAAGAUUGAUCAUUAUCAGAAUGAGGAGGUUUUCUAUAAUAAAAUGGAAACCAAGGCACUAUUGGUUCAGGUGGUGGUGGUACUGCACCAUUUAUAAAAUCUGGUGGAGAGUUAUCAUAAUCGUUUGGUGGAAUAUUAUAACCAGUUGGUGGUGGAUUAUAAUUAGUUGAUGCACCAUUUACAAAAUCUGGUGGAGAGUUAUCAUAAUCAUUUGAUGGAAUAUUAUUAUAACCAGUUGGUGGUGGAUUGUAAUUAGUUGAUGGAUUAUUUGGGACAUACCCUUGUGGAGAUGGUGGAGUUGUUGUUGCCGGAGGAGGGUUGUUUCCGGCGGGACCGGUCGGCGGCGGAUAACACGGGUAAGGACAUUCUUGGGCUGAGAUUCUUGCCGGAAAAUUGAGUAUUAACAGUGGAAAAUGUAAUAGUGUGAAGAGAAGUUUGUUGAGUUUAGAAACCAUGCUUUUGUGUUGUAGAAAGAAAAUGAAGGAAAUGAAGUAGGAAAAUAAAUAUGUGGUUCAAUUAGAGAAAGACAGACUUUUUUGAGGGGUUUACUUAAGAUUAAAAGUAUAGAACAAAAGGAAGAGUAAGGCUUUUGGCCACUUUGUAUUAUGUCUUUGAUAAU
rnacentral:lncRNA from 1 species